CAGAAGUACUAUUUCUUUACUGUGAAGAUCAUCUAGUCUCAACCAGGACCUAAAUGUCAGACUCUCUCUUCUGUGGAUGAAAUCUUCUCAAUAUGUAAACUUUUACCUAGUUCGCUUGCCAAGAAAGAGUCAAAGAAACUGGGUCAACCGAGAGAGGGAAAAUGGAGUUAUAUUCAAGGAUA